rnacentral:lncRNA from 1 species
UUUGAUGUUCUGUUCUUGAUGUGCUAAUCCAAGGUUGAUAAUUAUUUCAUUCAAGUGGGGUAAAGUUUGAAUUCCUACCACUGAUUGCAAAGAUCUUCUGUUCCAUGGAUUUCAGUUUGUUUUGUUGACCCCUUUCCCACUACAGUCACAGAACUGAGCAAUGUUGAUGGUCAAGUGUGCCGUGGCGGCGAGGCCACAUUCCUUGCCGGAAACGCUGGUUCGGGAGCUACAAGUGGCUGGACAAGAAGGUAUUUCAGAUUAAAAUGUUCCGAUCCAAAAAAACCUUUAAUUCAGAACAUAGUAUGUGUCGGCCUUGUUCUUGGUUAGAUUUUGAAUACAACCACAUUUCACUCCCGAAAUCAGUAUCACACAAAAUCAAAAUCCGUGGCUUCUGUGCCCCUUGUGCAAGAAACUUUCUAUGGGUUAGAUAUUUGGAAAUAAUAUGAUGAUGCAUGGAUGGGUUUUCUUUAUUCACAAAAUGAAUUUUACAUGUCUGAAUGCAUUGCAUUGCCUGAUUGGCUUGUUCUUUGUUCACUGCACAACUUACUUCGGAGCAUCCUCUAAUGAAGCAAUUUUUUGUUCUGUUCUUGAUCAGAAUCAUGCUGAUAUGGUCUGUAUCAUGAACCCUGAAGUAGAAGGCAUUUAAUCUGAUGCAUUUUCCUACUGUUGUGAUCUUGUAAUAUUGCCUUCUGGCCAAAUCAGCAAAAUCCCUGGUUGAAGCUGCGCAAGCUCUGUUUCUUUGGCUGUUGUUCCCUCUCAGCAAUCCAUUCGACUCGGGUAUAUGUUUGUAAUUAUUGUAAUGGAUUUGUACCAUUUGUGAACCAUGUCAAAUUGUUAAGGUGGGUGAUGGGUAUUACAACUAUGUAUGCAUGGUUGCUAGUUCUGUGCGUAGAACUUGAUCUGUGUAUUAGUCAAAACCGACACAUGUUGUGUGUUAGCUUAACAGGAAGAAACUGCAAUUGUCAAUGAGAGCAAUAUGUCGAGAAGGGAGAUGGCCCAGUAGUCUAAUGAUUUCUGUAACGGAGUGUUUGAAUCAUCUUCGUCUGGCAAACUAUUGUUAAUUGCUUUUCCCAACCGUGACCAUCCAUUCUUG